UGGUGGAGUGAUUUGUCUGGUUAAUUCCGUUAACGAACGAGACCUCGACCUGCUAAAUAGUUUGGCGAAUUCCCUGUGGAUUCGCACAUAACUUCUUAGGGGGACUAUCGGUUCGCAGCCGGUGGAAGUUCGAGGCAAUAACA
rnacentral:rRNA from 1 species